AUCCUUUUUCAAAUUAGUUUUAGUUUAAUUUCAAUUGGAGGCAUGUGUUUCAUUGUAAAUCUCAAUAUAAAUUUUUUUAUUAUUUUGGAAAAAUUUAAUUGAAGUAUGUCGUGUUUUAUUUCUUCUAGCUUCAUUGGACGCCUUGUACCCCAUUCAAAAUGUGCUGCCAUCUUUUGUGGGUUAUAGGAUUGUAAUUGAGAUGCUUGAAGUGAAAAUUAGAGAAUUUGUGUGCAAUUUCAACACUGUAUUGGAAGAGAUAUCAUUAUCCAAACAAAAUCUUUCCACGCCUCUUGAUUGUAUGAAAAAUCGUAAAUUUGAUAUUGGUUUAGUGAUAGAGAGAAUCCAAGAUUCAAUAUCAGAAGAGGAUAAGAGGUUGAUCUAUCUUGGAGAUGGAAGUGGAGACUAUUGUCCAAGUUUGAGGUUGAAAGAGAAGGACUUUAUGAUGCCAAGGAAGAACUUUCCAUUGUGGGAUCUGAUAUGCAGAGAUCCUUCACUUCUUAAGGCUGAGUUUCAUGGUUGAAGACUAUUCUCCCUUCAUUUCCUCUUAUUGCAAGCUUCAGACUCUGCCAGUCACUGCUCAUGAGGCUUUGCCCAAAGCUCUACCAGUUCGACCAUAGAUUCAUGGUUUUGUAACUUUUGCAAUGGACCAAAGUAGAAUAUAACAUGACUAAUUUUUGUCUCAAUAGUAUAAUAGUAUAUAUUGCAUAGUCAGUUACCUCUGCCUUGAUUUCUGUAAUAUCCGAUGACAAUCUAGUUACAAUGAGGUAGGACCAUCCAGUUGUAAACAUCACGUUUUAAUAAAAAUUGAGAAAUAUUUGGUAUUA